AAACUUACCUGGCAGCGGAAACACCACGAUCACGUAGAUGGUUUUCCCAGGGCACGGCUUUUCCAUUGCACUUGGGAGGUGCUGACCCCUGCGAUUUCCCCGAAUGUGGGAAACAAGGCUGCAUGGUUUGUGGUAGUAAGGAUUGCGUUCGCGCGCUCCCCU
rnacentral:snRNA from 1 species